CUGCUAUCGGAUGAUACUAAGCCAUGCGAGUCUUUGUAGCAAUACAAGGCAGACGGCUCAGUAACGCGUAGUCAACCUACCCUAUGGACGGGAAUAACCUCGGGAAACUGAGUAUAAUGCCCGAUAGAACAUUAUGCCUGGAAUGGUUUAUGUUCCAAAUGAUUUAUCGCCGUAGGAUGGGACUGCGGCCUAUCAGUUUGUUGGUGAGGUAAUGGCCCACCAAGACUAUUACAGGUACGGGCUCUGAGAGGAGUAGCCCGGAGAUGGGUACUGAGACACGGACCCAGGCCCUAUGGGGCGCAGCAGGCGAGAAAACUUUGCAAUGUGCGAAAGCACGACAAGGUUAAUCCGAGUGGUUUCUGCUAAAGGAACCUUUUGUUAGUCCUAAAAACACUAACGAAUAAGGGGUGGGCAAGUUCUGGUGUCAGCCGCCGCGGUAAAACCAGCACCUCAAGUGGUCAGGAUGAUUAUUGGGCCUAAAGCAUCCGUAGCCUGCUCUGUAAGUUUUCGGUUAAAUCUGUAUGCUCAACAUACAGGCCGCCGGGAAUACUGCAGGGCUAGGGAGUGGGAGAGGUAGACGGUACUCGGGAGGAAGUGGUAAAAUGCUUUGAUCUUUCGAUGACCACCUGUGGCGAAGGCGGUCUACCAGAACACGUCCGACGGUGAGGGAUGAAAGCUGGGGGAGCAAACCGGAUUAGAUACCCGGGUAGUCCCAGCCGUAAACUAUGCAAACUCAGUGAUGCAUUGGCUUGUGGCCAAUGCAGUGUUGCAGGGAAGCCGUUAAGUUUGCCGCCUGGGAAGUACGUACGCAAGUAUGAAACUUAAAGGAAUUGGCGGGGGAGCACCACAAGGGGUGA
rnacentral:rRNA from 1 species